CCUGGUAUGACAGAGCUUAGGUCCUGGCACACCAUGCAGCUUACAAAGUACAUUUAUACAUUUUCAUACACUUUGCUUGAGGGCCCACAGUUAAACUUCAGUCUGUGCCUGCAGUACGAUGCCAGUACCCAUUGUCCACUGGAGCAAGGUGUGGCAUGUUUGAGGAAUGGCAAGAGGAGGGGGACAAUAGUAUCUGGGUGUACUUACUCUGUUCUCUUAGUAUAGCUUGCUCGACUUCAAGGCCAUAAACCCAGAGUGUGGACUUCCCUUUCUCUUUACCUCUGGGACCGAAACCUGCAAGGAAGAAGGAUUGCUUUUUGUUCUGGACCUCCACAGAGAGCCAUCAGAGUCUGACAAAAAGGACAAAGGCUUUGGAGCCAAGUAGACCAGGAAGUCUCAUCACUGUCUAAUUCUGUGACUUCAGUCAAGCCAUGAAACCCC
rnacentral:lncRNA from 10 species